GUAGUACGCAACCAAGCUAUCUAGGCCUUCUAUAACUCCACAUCCAUAGUUGAUCCAGUGCUAAUAUAGGUGAGCAAUGUCGUCCAGCUCUAGCGCUAUGAUGAACUGAGCAGAGCCUCUCCCUCUCGUGACCUGCCCUUUCUGCGGUAGAGCCGAGGUCGAAGUAUUCACAUCUUCACAGCCAGCGACACGCGGACAACGUUUCUACAAGUGCCCAUUUCACACGGGCACGAGAAACGGAUGCAAUUUCCUGAAGCCAGAAGAAACGUACGCGAAGUUCUUGCCGCGUGAAGGAAGAAUGGAGCGGCACAAUGUUCUGGCCGCAGUUCCUGGAUUGAACCACGAUCCGUACUACCACGGGGCAAACAAUGCCACCAACGAUGCUCGUUCUUACAUGGAGGGACGUCUUCGUUCUCUAGAGCAGAAGAUAGAAACGCUUAUAAUUAUGUGUAGUUUGAUUGUCUUACUUACUGCCAUCUCAAUGUUCUACACGUGUACUGUAGCUUGAUUCUGAUGCCUAAGCGCGUGCCUGCUUUCGAUAACAAAUAAAUAAAGCCCAGUUCACCCA